ensembl:lncRNA
GCUCACGACCGCAGUGGGCUGCAUUUGGUUUGCCUCAGGAGGUCUCCAGCCCUGCUUUCUACUCAAACUGCCUGGGCCAAAAACAAUACUGAAUGUAGCUGAUGUAAUAAUUAUGUAACUUGUGUCAUUCCACCAACUAACACUGCAGGCAGGGAAAAAAAAACAGGAAAAGAGUUUCUCUCUGUGUCUGUCUUGUGAGUAAAUCACUACCUUCUGGUUCUGAGAGGAUCAGAGAAUAGCGUAUUGAUUAACACCGCGGGAUGAAGACAGUGAGAUAACAUUCAUUAGUGUCGCCAUUCAAAUCAGCCCGAAUGACAGCAGAGACAGUGUCUCUUGAAGUGGCAGCACUCACACGUGGAUUUGGGGAUAUUUGUUUGUGUAAAUGAGUUGUGUUUCACAGCCCCUGCAGAGACACUGCACUGCGUCAGUAUGUGCUAAUAGAGAGCGAGAGGGGGAGAGAGCCAGAGAGAGAGAUGAAAGAGGGGAAAACAGUGAGGGAGGGGGUGAGAGGGAGAGAGAGAGUAACCAAGAGGGGUGUGUCUCCACUGACCUAGUUACAGCUGUACAAUGUGCUCCUCGCUCCCGGGCACUAAGCUAUACAGGGGACAUGCAGAGCACACUCCCAGCACCUGGCCAGAGGCACACAGACAGACAGACAGACAGACAGACAGACAGACAGACAGACAAACAGACAGGCACACAGACAGACAGACAGGCAGGCACACAGACAGGCACACAGACAGACAGGCACACAGACAGGCAGGCAGGCAGGCAGACCGACAGACAGACAGACAGGCAGGCAGAAAGACAGACAGGCAGACCGACAGACAGACAGGCAGACAAACAGGUGCAUACUUGUUUCAACACCGACUCAUGCUCCAGAACUGAACUGACAUGUGAGCAGACACACUUUGCAUAUGCCACUCUGCCACACCUCCAAUCUUGUGAUGUGUAGAAUGCUUCGGAAAGCUGUUAUCAACAUUAAGUCUCUAAUUUCUAUGAAAGUGAUUCUUUGCUCUUAGGAAGGUGAAAAGGUCUCAAGGUUAGGCCUCUGAACACACAGAAGUGAUGGAUCAAAAUAGAAAUGCUUCAUGAUAUCAGCACAGCUUGUAAAUUUAUAUUUUGGUAUUAUAUAACCCAUUUGGCCAGUCUCCCAGCACUGAAGCCAUGUCUUUAUUUAGUUGUGAAAAUGUGAGGGUCU